rnacentral:rRNA from 1 species
ACGGCAGCACGGGGGCAACCCUGGUGGCGAGUGGCGAACGGGUGAGUAAUACAUCGGAACGUGCCCAGUCGUGGGGGAUAACUACGCGAAAGCGUAGCUAAUACCGCAUACGAUCUACGGAUGAAAGCGGGGGAUCGCAAGACCUCGCGCGAUUGGAGCGGCCGAUGGCAGAUUAGGUAGUUGGUGGGGUAAAGGCUCACCAAGCCUGCGAUCUGUAGCUGGUCUGAGAGGACGACCAGCCACACUGGGACUGAGACACGGCCCAGACUCCUACGGGAGGCAGCAGUGGGGAAUUUUGGACAAUGGGCGCAAGCCUGAUCCAGCCAUUCCGCGUGCAGGAUGAAGGCCCUCGGGUUGUAAACUGCUUUUGUACGGAACGAAAAGGCUCUUUCUAAUACAAGGGGCUCAUGACGGUACCGUAAGAAUAAGCACCGGCUAACUACGUGCCAGCAGCCGCGGUAAUACGUAGGGUGCAAGCGUUAAUCGGAAUUACUGGGCGUAAAGCGUGCGCAGGCGGUGAUGUAAGACAGUUGUGAAAUCCCCGGGCUCAACCUGGGAACUGCAUCUGUGACUGCAUCGCUGGAGUGCGGCAGAGGGGGAUGGAAUUCCGCGUGUAGCAGUGAAAUGCGUAGAUAUGCGGAGGAACACCGAUGGCGAAGGCAAUCCCCUGGGCCUGCACUGACGCUCAUGCACGA